rnacentral:pre_miRNA from 1 species
AAAAUAUUCCCUCCAUCUCAAAAUUCUUGUCUUAAAUUUGUCUACAUACAGAUGUAUCUAGUCAUGUUUUAGUAUUAGAUACAUCUGUAUCUAGACAAAUAUAAGACAUGAAUUUUGGGCUAGAUACAUC